rnacentral:rRNA from 1 species
UACGUAAGGGGUCGAAGCGUUGUCCGGAAUCAUUGGGCGUAAAGCGCGUGUAGGCGGCCAGGUAAGUCCGUUCUGAAAGCCCGGGGCUCAACCCCGGGAGGCGGAUGGAUACUGCUUGGCUCGAGUCCGGAAGAGGCGAGUGGAAUUCCCGGUGUAGCGGUGAAAUGCGCAGAUAUCGGGAGGAACACCAAUGGCGAAGGCAGCUCGCUGGGACGGUACUGACGCUGAGACGCGAAAGCGUGGGGAGCAAACAGG